rnacentral:rRNA from 1 species
CCUACGGGCGGCAGCAGUGAGGAAUAUUGGUCAAUGGGCGCAAGCCUGAACCAGCCAAGUCGCGUGAGGGAUGGCGGUCCUAUGGAUUGUAAACCUCUUUUGUCGGGGAGCAAGGCCCGCCACGUGUGGCGGGAAGGAGAGUACCCGAAGAAAAAGCAUCGGCUAACUCCGUGCCAGCAGCCGCGGUAAGACGGAGGAUGCGAUCGUUCUCCGGAUUUAUUGGGUUUAAAGGGUGCGUAGGCGGAAGGUUAAGUCAGCGGUCAAAUGUCGGCGCUGAACAGCGGCCUGCCGUUGAAACUGGUCGUCUUGAGUGAGCGAGAAGUAUGCGGAAUGCGUGGUGUAGCGGUGAAAUGCAUAGAUAUCACGCAGAACUCCGAUUGCGAAGGCAGCAUACCGGCGCUCAACUGACGCUGAGGCACGAAAGCGUGGGGAUCGAACAGGAUUAGAUACCCCAGUAGUC